UGAGCCUUAGAGCAGAAGCCUCCUUGACCAACAGACUAUGCAGAUGUGCUAGAAAGCACGUUCUCUCUUCAAUGUACAAGAUCUUCGCUAUUGAGUUCCUGGGCUUCCUGCUUACCUGUUGCUGAAGACCAUUCUGUUCAACAGAGCCAGAGCUGCCAACCAGGCAGAGGUCUGUUGAUCGAACUCUUCAUCCUGCUUGCUUGGACGAUGGCUCUAGCUGCACUCCAAGGCUCCCGGCUCCGUUCUUCUGGGCUGCUAUCCUUCAUCAGGUCCACAAACAGCAACCUUCGUCUUAUCCACAGCAAGCCAGCCAAGGGCAAAGUAGGACCCCUGGAAACCGUCAUCGGUUUAACAGUGUUUUCAUUGGCUAUUCUUGGACCAACUGGAUGGUUCCUGAGCCAUAUUUCAAGCUAUAGAAUGAGGUAGAAGACAUUCUUCUGCGUCCGAGAUGCAUCAGAUUCAGAUCUGCUAUCAACGGACCUGGAAAAUAAAGUCACCUUGAAGUCCUACCAGCUAAAAA